AUCCAUAAAUUGAUUUUACAGAUAGUGAAAAUGUUGACCAAGCACCAGUCAAUGAUUCUAUACAACCACCAGAUAGUAAGAAGAUUGAUCAAGAAUCUGUUGUUUCCGACACUGAAAGCUUUGUUAUAUCACCACCAGAUACCCUCCAGCAAAAUGUGGCAUUUUUUGAAAAUUGGAAAAAACACAAAUCCUGAUUGGCUUGAAGUCAAUAGACUGGUGAAAAUAAGUGGUGCAGAUUUGAUACCAGUAUUUGAUGCCAAAACAGUGCAUGUUAAAAUCAAGAGUGUAAUUAAAAGUCAGUCAUAUGGUUCAAUCGUACUGAGCAAUCACAAGAUUUUGUCAACGGGGAAAAUACAUUGCGAGGGAAAUAACUUGGCUGUCGUGGUUUCUAAAUAGGACGUUGUUUCUGAAUCAGUGUUAUGUAUACUGUAAAUGUAAAAACGGAGUGAAGUCUGAUGCUGUACCUUGUGCUACAGUUGAGCGUGAUACUAUGAUGCGUACUUGUCAUUCAGCGGCUGCCAAAGUAAAACCAUCUGUGAAGCCAUCAUCAGGUAUCGUAAUGAAAAUCCUGUAGUUUCAA